AACCUUACCUACCCUUGACAUGUCUGGAAUCCUGAAGAGAUUUGGGAGUGCUCGAAAGAGAGCCAGAACACAGGUGCUGCAUGGCCGUCGUCAGCUCGUGUCGUGAGAUGUUGGGUUAAGUCCCGCAACGAGCGCAACCCUUGUCAUUAGUUGCUACGAAAGGGCACUCUAAUGAGACUGCCGGUGACAAACCGGAGGAAGGUGGGGAUGACGUCAGGUCAUCAUGGCCCUUAUGGGUAGGGCUACACACGUCAUACAAUGGCCGGGACAGAGGGCUGCCAACCCGCGAGGGGGAGCUAAUCCCAGAAACCCGGUCGUAGUCCGGAUCGUAGUCUGCAACUCGACUGCGUGAAGUCGGAAUCGCUAGUAAUCGCGGAUCAGCUUGCCGCGGUGAAUACGUUCCCGGGUCUUGUACACACCGCCCGUCACACCAUGGGAGCGGGUUCUGCCAGAAGUAGUUAGCCUAACCGCAAGGGGGGCGA
rnacentral:rRNA from 1 species